CCUACGGGGGGCUGCAGUAGGGAAUCUUCGGCAAUGGGGGCAACCCUGACCGAGCAACGCCGCGUGAGUGAAGAAGGUUUUCGGAUCGUAAAACUCUGUUGUUAGAGAAGAACGUUAAGUAGAGUGGAAAAUUACUUAAGUGACGGUAUCUAACCAGAAAGGGACGGCUAACUACGUGCCAGCAGCCGCGGUAAUACGUAGGUCCCAACCGUUGUCCGGAUUUACUGGGCGUAAAGCGAGCGCAGGUGGUUUCUUAAGUCUGAUGUAAAAGGCAGUGGCUCAACCAUUGUGUGCAUUGGAAACUGGGAGACUUGAGUGCAGGAGAGGAGAGUGGAAUUCCAGGUGUAGCGGUGAAAUGGGUAGAUAUAUGGAGGAACACCGGAGGCGAAAGCGGCUCUCGGGCCUGUAACUGACGCGGAGGCGCGAAAGCGGGGGGAGCAAACAGGAUGAGAUACCGUGUAGUC
rnacentral:rRNA from 1 species